rnacentral:rRNA from 1 species
AGAGUUUGAUCCUGGCUCAGGAUGAACGCUAGCUACAGGCUUAACACAUGCAAGUCGAGGGGCAGCAUGAACUUAGCUUGCUAAGUUUGAUGGCGACCGGCGCACGGGUGAGUAACACGUAUCCAACCUGCCGAUGACUCGGGGAUAGCCUUUCGAAAGAAAGAUUAAUACCCGAUGGCAUAGUUCUUCCGCAUGGUAGAACUAUUAAAGAAUUUCGGUCAUCGAUGGGGAUGCGUUCCAUUAGGUUGUUGGCGGGGUAACGGCCCACCAAGCCUUCGAUGGAUAGGGGUUCUGAGAGGAAGGUCCCCCACAUUGGAACUGAGACACGGUCCAAACUCCUACGGGAGGCAGCAGUGAGGAAUAUUGGUCAAUGGACGAGAGUCUGAACCAGCCAAGUAGCGUGAAGGAUGACUGCCCUAUGGGUUGUAAACUUCUUUUAUAUGGGAAUAAAGUGUUCCACGUGUGGGAUUUUGUAUGUACCAUAUGAAUAAGGAUCGGCUAACUCCGUGCCAGCAGCCGCGGUAAUACGGAGGAUCCGAGCGUUAUCCGGAUUUAUUGGGUUUAAAGGGAGCGUAGAUGGAUGUUUAAGUCAGUUGUGAAAGUUUGCGGCUCAACCGUAAAAUUGCAGUUGAUACUGGAUAUCUUGAGUGCAGUUGAGGCAGGCGGAAUUCGUGGUGUAGCGGUGAAAUGCUUAGAUAUCACGAAGAACUCCGAUUGCGAAGGCAGCCUGCUGGACUGUAACUGACGCUGAUGCUCGAAAGUGUGGGUAUCAAACAGGAUUAGAUACCCUGGUAGUCCACACAGUAAACGAUGAAUACUCGCUGUUUGCGAUAUACAGUAAGCGGCCAAGCGAAAGCGUUAAGUAUUCCACCUGGGGAGUACGCCGGCAACGGUGAAACUCAAAGGAAUUGACGGGGGCCCGCACAAGCGGAGGAACAUGU